AAAAUCUCUUACGAUUUCAGUCAGAAGGAAAAGAGUCUACAUUCAGGCCAUGGUGUGGCAAGACUGGUAUCCUCACAGGCACAGAGUGAGUGAGUGUCCUCUAUCGAAGGUUCUACACCGUCUUUGAACCAUUACAAGUGAAUAAUCAUCAUCCUUCCUAUUUUAACGGGGCUGGAGAACACAACGUCCCCUUUGGUUUACAACCCGGGAAGAUCCUUCAGGAUGGUAGUCAUGCCCGCUUGCGCGAAUUAGAAGCCACAAGAUCAAUUUUCUUAGCCAUUUCUGUGACCUGCCUGUGCAAGAGGAGUGGUUUGGUGAGACUUUGCCUGCAGGGAUCAGUGGAGUCGGUGGCCUGUGCCUGACAUAAGACACGAGUGCGGGGCCCCGGGCGCCACAGCCAGGAGCUCCCGGGCGGUUCUCGGCUCCUUGAUGAAAGGCUGCUUUGGACCAAAGGUUACGCACUGCUCUGCUCACCCCUCGUCUGUGACCCUGGGGCAGGAAGACUAAUGCACCAGAUCAAACCAGGAGCAGAGGGAAAAUCUUCAAGCUAAGCCUGUGUGAGGGGUUUCUUAAAGGCAGAAUUUAUAGUUUAUAAAAAAACUCACUGGCAGCCUCUAGCGGGACUAGAUAUUCAUUGUUUAAGGUUAUAUUUGCCAUGCACUCAAUGACUCUGUUUUACUGCCUAGGCAUUUUCUUUGGCACGAUCUUCUUUCUUUUACCCGUCAUCGUGGCCGGUUGGAUAAUUGUAAAGCACAAACAAGGCGAAACUACAGAUGAAAAAUGUAAGGAGAGUAUCCAUUUACAUCCUCAAGAAGACAGCGGUGUAAGUCCUCAAACUGUGCAAACAAAUCAGGAAAACAGCAGUGUCCUUCCUUGACAAAGUAUAUAAAGCUGGAGAACACCUCGAAUUAAAAUGUUGGUCGGGAAGGAAGCGAUUCAUUUCAACAGAAUAAGAUGUGAAACGCAUAAAAUCCCAACUGGAAGUGACCUCACAGAGAUGCAAGCAUGUGCACUUGAAGAUGCCGAAGUGCCCCCGGAAUCUAGGAAAAGCUCCCUCCUCUUAGUUUGGAUUACUGUCACUCCUUCACCCUCUGUCCUUGUGCUCAAAGCA